rnacentral:rRNA from 1 species
GACGAACGCUGGCGGCGUGCUUAACACAUGCAAGUCGAACGGAAAGGCACUGCUUUUGUGGGGUGCUCGAGUGGCGAACGGGUGAGUAACACGUGAGUAACCUGCCCUUGACUUUGGGAUAACUUCAGGAAACUGGGGCUAAUACCGGAUAGGAGCCCCUGCUGCAUGGUGGGGGUUGGAAAGUUUCGGCGGUUGGGGAUGGACUCGCGGCUUAUCAGCUUGUUGGUGGGGUAGUGGCUUACCCAGGCUUUGACGGGUAGCCGGCCUGAGAGGGUGACCGGCCACAAUGGGACUGAGGUACGGCCCAGACUGCAACGGUAGGCAGCAGUGGGGAAUAUUGCACAAUGGGCGGGAGCCUGAUGAAGCAGCGCCGCGGGCGGGAUGACGGCCUUCGGGUUGUAAACCGCUGUCGCCUGUGACGAAGCGGGAGUGACGGUAAUGGGUAAAGAAGCACCGGCUAACUACGUG